AAACACGCAGAUCCAACUGAUGCUUCGAGACGCCCUGGUGGUAACGUCGCCGUGGUGUCAAUAUGCCUGGUGACCACAGCGCGUCUACUUACGUGAUAACGUGCACCUAAUGCGUGCAGGAGGCACGAAAACGAAAUGUUACAGCGUUUGAAGGCCUUCCAUCAUCCUCUCUUCAAAGGCUUGCGCGGGUGAAACGAGGAGAUGCAAGCACGAGUGGCAUCCUUUGUGCAACGUCACCGAUGUCUGCCACGCCACGCUUUCCCAGCUGACUUGGCACGUCAUCGGGCAAGCGCUCGUACGCAGCGCCCGAAGCCUACACGUCCCAGAUCCUCCAUGAACAGGCUCAGUAGCUCGCGCAAACAAGUCAAAGUUGUCUGUACAGUGCUCACCAGUUGAAACGCUAUACUCGGAGCUCGUGGACGCCGGCGGUCGUGUCGCCACCGAGGAGCGUUCGUGAAAGUAAACUGGCGCAUGCGUGGCCUCCGAGAUAGCCUUCGGCAACCUGCGCGUUGCCGGGGCUAAUCUCGGAGGCCAUGGUGCAUGGUGGUAUACACUGAGGACGAGAGGCUUGGUGACGUAUGGUGGCUGCAUCCGGCCGACAGUCCUUCGGUUUGCGGUUCUCAGUGGCGCAGUGCAAGCAAUGCAUUUUAGAUCAUGCUCGCUUGCCGCGUGGCGCUGCUUCAGGCAUACGGGUCGGGGUCGUAAUUUCACAGAGGCUCUUUGUGCACGCGUGACAAACGAAUUUAAUUCCACUCUUGGCGACGUGAUGGCUGGCGUAAAGUUCAUUAGGCGGUUCUCUGGGCCCACGUUUCUUGUUUUCCUGAGCACGUAAUAGGCCGCGAGCACCUUAAGUCUGCUCCGAUGCCACGCUAGCACAUUGCCGAAAGUCGAAAUACAAUCAUUUGACAUACGUGCACAUCCUGCCACCUGCGGAAGUACUACGGCGGCACGUGUACUUCGUGUAGCAUGGCAGGCGAGCGCCGUGUAAAAACCAUGGCUAGCAGCUCUCCGGCGGCUUCACCGUGAAACGUCGACAGAACAAUUGUCUGCCGGAUGCAGCCUCCAUACAUCACCAACCCUCUCACCCUCAACGUAUACCACAAUGCACGAGAUUGCUUUCACGAACGCUCGCCCGGCGACGCAACAACCACUGCCGGCCACUCGCUCCGAAUAUCGCGUUUAAUUUGCUGAACACUGUACAUUAGGGUUAAUAGGUUGAUGUUGUUGUGUUGCUAAACCCGCGUUUCGUACGCGCUGGUGAAGUUUUCGAAUGUACAUAUAGGAGUAUACGUUGAGUGUUCACGGUUCGAUGUCUUCGGCCUCUUGAACUUGCUGCGUCAGAGUUAUCUGCCCUACAUUGCUUCCCGUUAUUGGCCGAGCUUUUGUGUAUGAAUGUGCGUCCUCCGACCAGUCAGAGAGAAAGAAAGAAAAUGCGAUGCGUACGCACAAAGGAAGAAAGUAAUAAACUGGUAUCAAGAAAAAUUGAUUUACUGAAGUCUGCGGACGUAAGAACACCUAAAUUAGGUAACUUAAAAGCUGGCGAAUGCGAGCCAGUUGAUACGUAUCCAUAGUUAAAAACAACGCAAGGUAAACACGGGCAAGAUUCACACAGGGCUAGCGCUGUCCUGUGUACAUCUUGUCCGUGUUUACCAUGCGCUGUUUUUAACUAUGAGCCUAAAUUAGCGAUCGGUGUCGCAGAAGCGACACUGCCUCCAAAGGUGGCGCGGUCUCUCGUACGCUCUGAGAUCCGUAAUAUGUACCUUGCUUUUUAAUUUUCCAUUAACUACUGCGCCAGAGGCCCUUCUCCUCUCGUUUCUCAAUCUGCAGUAGAAAAAUCAUUAGCAGAAGCGCGCUUCACUGGGUUAUAGCAUAAGAUGAAGUGCACUUAUGCGGCACACUUAAUCAACUACAAUUAAUGAACUGUCAGGGUAAUCAACGAAAAUUUAUUGAAUGGUUUCAUUGAGAAAGCGGACGGUUUUCUUGUGAGCAGCUCGGAUCGUUGCGGCACCUGGUGGAUAAGAUCUCAACCACGUGCUUCUUUCUGCGUGGCCUCUGAGAUCCCCUUCGGCAGUGGGCACACGUACGCCUACGUGCGAGCGCCACUACCAGCAACCUAGGUGAAGGAUUAGGGUCACCUCCAAUCUAAUGAAGUUUAAACCCAUUUAUCAUCUCCAUUUUUUCUAAUGAGGUUUAAACCCAUUUAUCCUAAAUUACGUUUCACGACGACUUCUAUAUCAGGUUUUUGAGAGCCAUAGGUACGUCUGCUCUCCACAGAAUCGGGCGACGCGUCCAUCAAGCGCGAAAGAAUCAAUACAGACUGAACACAAGAGGCGCCGUUUCAUUUGAUCUGUGAGUAUCGUAUCCAGAAACGUGCUCUAGACCUAUCGGGGUUUUUUUUGAACGUCAAAAUAACGAAGCAGCUGACAUGUUGUUUCGCUGUUCUGAGCUAAAAAGCUCGCAAAUCUGUUCUGUGGGUACCAUAGAUAAAAUCAACUUCCAGCGCGAGUUUUGCUGCAUCCUCUCGUAAAGGCCGCGUUCUCCUCUCUUGAUGCGCACAGAAAGCGAGGGCAUUAAUGACUGCUCCAGCGCCAAUGUACAGAAAUGUAAGGUGGCUACAUCAGCCUCCUAGUCCCUCUUCUCAGGUAGACCAUCUGUUAAUAAUCUGUCAUUCUAUCAUGUGUACAUACAUACAUCGUCGAUCAUUGUAAAUCUGUCUGUCGCCGACUCGUCGUGCAGCGCUACUGCGAACACAACGGCGGAAUGUGCUGUGUACAUAGCAGAAAUAAAAGUGGUCAAA